UACAGAGGGCUCAAGCGUUGUUCGGAUUCAUUGGGCGUAAAGGGUGCGUAGGCGGAUCUUUAAGUCAGGGGUGAAAUCCUGGAGCUCAACUCCAGAACUGCCUUUGAUACUGGGGAUCUCGAGUCCGGAAGAGGUGAGUGGAACUCCGAGUGUAGAGGUGAAAUUCGUAGAUAUUGGGAAGAACACCGGUGGCGAAGGCGGCUCUCUGGACCGAGACUGACGCUGAGGCGCGAAAGCGUGGGGAGCAAACAGG
rnacentral:rRNA from 1 species